rnacentral:rRNA from 1 species
UACGUAGGGAGCAAGCGUUGUCCGGAAUCAUUGGGCGUAAAGCGCGCGUAGGCGGCCCUGUAAGUCCGCUGUGAAAGUCAAAGGCUCAACCUUUGAAAGCCGGUGGAUACUGCAGGGCUAGAGUCCGGAAGAGGCGAGUGGAAUUCCUGGUGUAGCGGUGGAAUGCGCAGAUAUCAGGAGGAACACCAAUAGCGAAGGCAGCUCGCUGGACGGUACUGACGCUAAGGCGCGAAAGCGUGGGAGCGACAGG